CCUUCCUACAGGAUUUGUUUAAGAACUUAGGGGGUAUAUAAUUUCUUGGAAUUCGUCUAAGUUGUCCCUGACGCUUUCUUAUAUAUCAGUUUAAUUUUUCAUAAACUUUAAUUUUUGAUUUUUGAAAAACAUUAGUGUUUAAGCAUGCAUCAGAUUUUAAACUUUCAAUUUGAAGUUUCAAUUUAUCAUUUUCAGAUUUCAAACUAUCUAACAUUUCAUUUAAGUUAGCAAUUUCUUUUUAUGAUUCAGCUAAGUCUUUAGAAAGAAAUUUAAUAAAUUGAAACGACUAUUUAGGGUUUAGAGCACGUAUCUUACUUACCUUAUUUUGUGAUUCUCCCCCUUCAUCAUAACUUUCCUCUUCUGCUGUUCCUCCCCCUUUAUCUAUGCUCAUUUCUGAACUUGACUCUUCAUCUAGCUGGUGGUUCGCCAUCAUCGCUAGUCCUGAGAAGGCUUCGACUUCAGAUUCGGAGGACGUUGAAUCGUCCCACGUGACCUUCAGGAUUUUGUGCUUGGAGGUGUUUGGCUUGUGUUGUACCUUCUCCUUGUCUUUUGUCUUUUCCUUUAUUUUUAGACAGUCAUCCUGGAUGUGCCCUUCUUCUUAGCAAUUGUAGCACCGGACUGUCCUUCUGUUGCGCUGAUGCUUUCUCGACUGUGACCAAAAUUUAUUAGUUUUAAGAAAUUUAUUGAAAUGUCUUACCAGUAGCGCUGCUUCAGUUUCAUCGAUUGAAGCUUCGGAUUUGGGAUCGUCUAACUUGGAUUGUAAGGCGAUGUCGAGGUUUGACCUCACUAUUUCUUUAGGCUUUACAAUUCGAGACUCGUGAAGUUCGAAGGUUCGUAACUGCCCGAGCUGCUUCGGUUAGUUUUUCAAUUAUUGUGAUAAUAUAUAUUUAUAAUGUUCAAAUACAUUUUUACCCUCAUAGAUCAAAGUUUUUAACCCUAAACUCGCCGUGUGACAAAUAUUUCGAAGGAAUUUAUUCGAUAGUUGUUCGGUGGCCCACGGAGUCUUCAUCAAUCAACCUCUCUGCUCUGCGACGUUCUUUUUGUCAUUCGAAGCUUUGCCUUCAUUGUAAGUAAUAUGUUAGGGUUUAUGUUCCAAAGCUUCGGCUACUUGGAUAUUUUGAAUAUUUAGGGUUGAGAACCGUCUCCUAGCUGCUAGGGGUUUAAUGUUUUUAGGUCGCCCACCAAAGAUAGUUUACUUUGAGGGAACAAUGAGUUUAAAACAAAAAAUAUAUAUCUUUCGUGGUGCAGCUCUUGUCGUUGAACUGUUACAAAAUGAAACAACUCGCUUAAACACUAUAGUCUCCAUUGUCUUCUUACAUAUGUUGCAGCUACUUGACACUAACUGCUACAACGUGUAGAGUACUCAUGUUAAGCACAACUAGUCACAUUGUUAUAUAUAGGAGAGAUUAUAGAACUUGUAAUGUAUUAGAUUAUGGUUACUUAUAACAGUCCCAGGUUUCAUAUUAUGGUUGAUAAUAUAGAGAUUAUAGACAUGGUAAUGUAUUAGGGUCUGGUUACUACUUACUAAUAACAGUAUCGGAGUUUAUAUUAUGGUUUAUAAUAUAGAGAUUACACAUAAGGGAAGUGAGUAGCAUUAUGAGCUUAUGUUUGUGUUUGACAGAACUAAAUGGCGAGCUAGAGAACUGCAGCUUCCCGUGCAUAUCGCAAGAAAGUGCACUGGAAAAGUAACUACCCUCACUUCAAGGGGUUUAUAUCAUCACUCCACAUAACUGACCGACAGUUGGAGAUGAUCAAUGGAAGCCCAUUUGCUUGGGCAUUAGCCAUGCCUAAAAUUGUAAAUAUUCGUUGUCUUAUUCAAAAUAUGUUUGACAAUUGGGAUGUGUAAGCCAGAUGCUUCAUCUUUCAUAACAAGGAGAUUAGCUUCACCAGGAAAGACGUCUCAUUGAUACUUGGACUUCCAGACCACGACGAUGAAGUUAUUUUGCAACAGCAUGCAGCUACCACUCCACUAUUUCUACAACACUUCCAUAAUGUGGAGUGUACACAAAAGGAGCUGGAGAAGAAGAUGAUAAACCUCAGCAACCAACCUCCCUCUGCUGAAACCGAUACUCUGUUUUGUCAAUUAUUAAUAUUGUAUUUCUUUGUUAGUGUUUUAUUUACUACUACUAGCAGCAUAUCUAGAUUACUAAUACAAUCACUAAUAAACUGCGUAGAUGAUUUUGCCAAUUUAGGUAGGUAUAAUUGGUGUAAGGCUGUAUAUGACUAUAUCAGCCUGCAGCUGGGGGCCAUUGGUUCGAUGCUUUCACUGAGGGUGAAACCUGAGGGCCUUGCGGGAAUGCAAGCUCCCAUGCUCAGAGGGUUCGCACAUCUCCUUGCUGUCUGGAUGUGUGAACAUGUCAGAAUAAUGGAUCCUUACAGAUAGCAUGCCCUUCCAAGAAUAUGCAGAUGGAAGUGGUCAGGCUCCCGCGUGAAGACAAUAAAGUCAAGGAUCGCUGAAUUACCUCCUGCACAAAUAAUUGUUGAUUUGCAACCUUCGGACCUAGAGACACACUUGCUCUCAAACGAUCCCCUAGAAGAUAUUGUAGAGCAUAUAGAUCAACAAAUUGCAGAGGGGUUUUCAAAUUCCUGAGCAAUCUAAUGAAGAGGCAGUCGAUGCUCAGGGUAUUCCCCACCAAGUUCCUGUACAGGCAGCAGAAUGUAUGGAAAAGCCGUAUCGAGGUCCAGAGCCAUUUUGUGUAGAAUAUGUUGAGGAAAAAGAGGCUUGUACAAAAUGUCAAGCCUGGGAGGCAGAAAAAUCUCGGCUGGAGUUUGUGGUUGACGGCAAGGACCAGGUCAUUGCCCAGAUGGAGCGUAUAAUAAGUGAGCUAAAUCAGGAGAAAUUUUUUUUUGCAGUGAUGCAGAAAAAUCAUUAGCUUCCAAGGAUAAAAUAAUAGAUGAGAAGGACAGAAGUAUAAAGGUAAAAGAGCAAAAUAUAGCAGAACAAGAGAGGAAAAUCAAAGAGCUUGAAAGUUAGUUGCUUGCCAAGGUUAUUCCACCAUUACCUGCCACGCGGCCAGUACCCAGGACAAAGACUUGUGCUACAAAGAGAAGGAAACCCCCAACUGGCAAAGAGAUUAAGGGAUUGCACUUGGCCAAAAGGAGUAAAAGAGUAAUUUUUGAAGAUGAGCAUGAGGUAGAGAAGGCCAAGGGCAAAGGAGAGGCAGUUGGGGAGGCUCCUGUUAAAGUACAAGAAGGCCAUGUACCAUCUACUGAUGUAGCUGCCACAUCUUCAUCGAAUGAAAAUUUGUCUACCCUUACCCAACUUAAAUCCAAAAUACUUAAGGUACGGGUUAGGUUGGUUAAAUGUGUCUUCUAUUACUCUUAAUUCACAUUUGAAUACUCACGUUGAAACCUUGCCUAUAUAUUUUGUUUCAGCAAUCGAAGUCAUAUUUUAAGAAAAAUAAAGAUGUUGUAGUGGCAGAGACGUUGUUGCAACUGAGGCAGCUAACGUGAGUUGGAAGUUUCUUGAGUUAUAUACCAUUUGAUUGUGAACACAAGGUUAUUUAUCUUGGAAGUGGUUUUGCUUAAUUAAUAGUGAAUCAAACAUUUCAUUGUGUUUAAACAAAUCUACUCCUGCACAUGAUAUUAAAGUUUAUAUAACACAUAUAAUUCAGGCAACUGCUUUAAGUGUAGCAGCUAUUGGGAGGGGUGACGUAAACAAAAUUAAUGUAAAGGUUUUUUUUUAUUAUUUUUUGUAGGGUUACGACAAAACCAAUAUAGUCCAAUGGAACUAUAUCAUUGGGUUUGACAUCUUUCAUGGGUAUCUUUGAUUGGACUGGCUACAAAGAUGGUGAUUGCAUAAAUGCAUAUUUUGUAGUAAUUGCAGAGGAAGCCAAAACUUCCGACAUCCCUUAUUGGCCAUCUAUAUUUUGUCCUGUUGGUUUUGAUGAUUUGUUUGCAAUGAUAUCAUAUGAGGCAUUUGGCCUAGCAGCAAGCACUGACACUGACAAACCACUCAGGUAUAUAUUCUGUCCAUUAAAUAAUGCAGAUGAUCACUGGCACCUACUGAUCAUAGACCUCCAAGAAGCUCAAUAUUUGCAUUACAACUCACUUGGAUCCUCACAACUAUACACAUCUAAGUUUCGAAAGUUUGUAAGUAACUUCCAUGUUGAGUAAAUCAUAUUGUAAUGGAUGUAUGUGUGCAUUGGUUACAAACUUCAAACUCGUGUAGGUUGAUAUUUUUAAAAAUAUUGACCCACCUUACUACGAAAUGUGGUAUCCAGGGCUACAUUCCUUAAUGUCAAGAAAAUUUGAGGUUUCUACGAUCCCGGGGCCAACACAAGUUAAAUCGCUAGAUUGUGUAAUUUUUGUGAUGCGAUAGCUGAGAGUUUAAUGUAUCGAAGGCCAACAAAUUUUGGACAAGAUGGAAUGAGAGAAUUUAGUAUUCAUGUUGGUCAUAAAAUUUUUAAUAGCAAACACUAGAUUAAUGACAAGGUGGGGGUGUAAAUGUAUUGAUAAUCUGAUUGUAAACGCAUUGUGAAACUGAUUAGAGUCAAAAAAUUAGGCUUCGUGGUGUUAAUUUAUUUGUAAUACUGCUGUCAAUGCCUUGCGAAGAUAAUACAUCGUAUAGCAGCUAAAGAUAUGUAUAUUAAAUGUGACAAAAGACAAUUGUAUAUUUUUUUGAUAGGAAGUAGAUACUACAACUUGUUGCUGCUAAUCGUGAGAAGCUUAAAAAUUUUGAAGAUGCUUAC